GUAACUCUGAAUUCUGGGUUUAAUGGAUUUCUAAAGCAGAACACUGAAUGUUUUCUAAAGCACUGCGAAAAAUUUUUUGGCUAUGUAUCUAUGCAAGUAAUUGUUGAUGAACUGCUUUUCGGUAAUUGUUGCAUGUAACUCCUUUGGAAAUUAAGUAAACGUUAAGUUGCUUAGAAGCUGUUUGAUAAUUCAUGUGUCUUGAAAUGCUGUACUAAUACUUGCUAAGAUAUUGACCCUACUAGUGGAUAAUUUCUAUGAGUGAUUUUUGAGUUAUCUUUGUUGCCAUAAUUGGUACCAUAUUUGAAACUAUUG